UACAGAGGUGGCAAGCGUUGUUCGGAAUUACUGGGCGUAAAGGGCGCGUAGGCGGUUCGAUAAGUCCUGUGUGAAAUCCCUCGGCUCAACUGAGGAACUGCACGGGAGACUGUCGGGCUUGAGUUCGGGAGAGGGAAGCGGAAUUCCGGGUGUAGCGGUGAAAUGCGUAGAUAUCAGGAGGAACACCGGUGGUGUAAACGGCUUUCUGGACCAUAACUGACGCUGAGGCACGAAAGCGUGGGUAGCAAACAGG
rnacentral:rRNA from 1 species